rnacentral:rRNA from 1 species
AACGAACGCUGGCGGCAUGCCUAACACAUGCAAGUCGAACGAUUGCCUUCGGGUGAUAGUGGCGCACGGGUGCGUAACGCGUGGGAAUCUGCCCUUGGGUUCGGAAUAACAGCUGGAAACGGCUGCUAAUACCGGAUGAUAUCGCGAGAUCAAAGAUUUAUCGCCUGAGGAUGAGCCCGCGUUGGAUUAGGUAGUUGGUGGGGUAAAGGCCUACCAAGCCGACGAUCCAUAGCUGGUCUGAGAGGAUGAUCAGCCACACUGGGACUGAGACACGGCCCAGACUCCUACGGGAGGCAGCAGUGGGGAAUAUUGGACAAUGGGCGCAAGCCUGAUCCAGCAAUGCCGCGUGAGUGAUGAAGGCCCUAGGGUUGUAAAGCUCUUUUACCCGGGAAGAUAAUGACUGUACCGGGAGAAUAAGCCCCGGCUGACUCCGUGCCAGCAGCCGCGGUAA